rnacentral:rRNA from 1 species
GGGUUGUGAGGUUAAGCGACUAAGCGUACACGGUGGAUGCCCUGGCAGUCAGAGGCGAUGAAGGACGUGCUAAUCUGCGAUAAGCGUCGGUAAGGUGAUAUGAACCGUUAUAACCGGCGAUUUCCGAAUGGGGAAACCCAGUGUGAUUCGUCACACUAUCAUUAACUGAAUCCAUAGGUUAAUGAGGCGAACCGGGGGAACUGAAACAUCUAAGUACCCCGAGGAAAAGAAAUCAACCGAGAUUCCCCCAGUAGCGGCGAGCGAACGGGGAGCAGCCCAGAGCCUGAAUCAGUGUGUGUGUUAGUGGAAGCGUCUGGAAAGGCGCGCGAUACAGGGUGACAGCCCCGUACACAAAAAUGCACAUACUGUGAGCUCGAUGAGUAGGGCGGGACACGUGGUAUCCUGUCUGAAUAUGGGGGGACCAUCCUCCAAGGCUAAAUACUCCUGACUGACCGAUAGUGAACCAGUACCGUGAGGGAAAGGCGAAAAGAACCCCGGCGAGGGGAGUGAAAAAGAACCUGAAACCGUGUACGUACAAGCAGUGGGAGCCUCUUUAUGGGGUGACUGCGUACCUUUUGUAUAAUGGGUCAGCGACUUAUAUUCUGUAGCAAGGUUAACCGAAUAGGGGAGCCGAAGGGAAACCGAGUCUUAACUGGGCGUUAAGUUGCAGGGUAUAGACCCGAAACCCGGUGAUCUAGCCAUGGGCAGGUUGAAGGUUGGGUAACACUAACUGGAGGACCGAACCGACUAAUGUUGAAAAAUUAGCGGAUGACUUGUGGCUGGGGGUGAAAGGCCAAUCAAACCGGGAGAUAGCUGGUUCUCCCCGAAAGCUAUUUAGGUAGCGCCUCGUGAAUUCAUCUCCGGGGGUAGAGCACUGUUUCGGCAAGGGGGUCAUCCCGACUUACCAACCCGAUGCAAACUGCGAAUACCGGAGAAUGUUAUCACGGGAGACACACGGCGGGUGCUAACGUCCGUCGUGAAGAGGGAAACAACCCAGACCGCCAGCUAAGGUCCCAAAGUCAUGGUUAAGUGGGAAACGAUGUGGGAAGGCCCAGACAGCCAGGAUGUUGGCUUAGAAGCAGCCAUCAUUUAAAGAAAGCGUAAUAGCUCACUGGUCGAGUCGGCCUGCGCGGAAGAUGUAACGGGGCUAAACCAUGCACCGAAGCUGCGGCAGCGACGCUUAUGCGUUGUUGGGUAGGGGAGCGUUCUGUAAGCCUGCGAAGGUGUACUGUGAGGUAUGCUGGAGGUAUCAGAAGUGCGAAUGCUGACAUAAGUAACGAUAAAGCGGGUGAAAAGCCCGCUCGCCGGAAGACCAAGGGUUCCUGUCCAACGUUAAUCGGGGCAGGGUGAGUCGACCCCUAAGGCGAGGCCGAAAGGCGUAGUCGAUGGGAAACAGGUUAAUAUUCCUGUACUUGGUGUUACUGCGAAGGGGGGACGGAGAAGGCUAUGUUGGCCGGGCGACGGUUGUCCCGGUUUAAGCGUGUAGGCUGGUUUUCCAGGCAAAUCCGGAAAAUCAAGGCUGAGGCGUGAUGACGAGGCACUACGGUGCUGAAGCAACAAAUGCCCUGCUUCCAGGAAAAGCCUCUAAGCAUCAGGUAACAUCAAAUCGUACCCCAAACCGACACAGGUGGUCAGGUAGAGAAUACCAAGGCGCUUGAGAGAACUCGGGUGAAGGAACUAGGCAAAAUGGUGCCGUAACUUCGGGAGAAGGCACGCUGAUACGUAGGUGAAGCGACUUGCUCGUGGAGCUGAAAUCAGUCGAAGAUACCAGCUGGCUGCAACUGUUUAUUAAAAACACAGCACUGUGCAAACACGAAAGUGGACGUAUACGGUGUGACGCCUGCCCGGUGCCGGAAGGUUAAUUGAUGGGGUUAGCGGUAACGCGAAGCUCUUGAUCGAAGCCCCGGUAAACGGCGGCCGUAACUAUAACGGUCCUAAGGUAGCGAAAUUCCUUGUCGGGUAAGUUCCGACCUGCACGAAUGGCGUAAUGAUGGCCAGGCUGUCUCCACCCGAGACUCAGUGAAAUUGAACUCGCUGUGAAGAUGCAGUGUACCCGCGGCAAGACGGAAAGACCCCGUGAACCUUUACUAUAGCUUGACACUGAACAUUGAGCCUUGAUGUGUAGGAUAGGUGGGAGGCUUUGAAGUGUGGACGCCAGUCUGCAUGGAGCCGGCCUUGAAAUACCACCCUUUAAUGUUUGAUGUUCUAACGUUGGCCCCUAAUCGGGGUUGCGGACAGUGUCUGGUGGGUAGUUUGACUGGGGCGGUCUCCUCCUAAAGAGUAACGGAGGAGCACGAAGGUUGGCUAAUCCUGGUCGGACAUCAGGAGGUUAGUGCAAUGGCAUAAGCCAGCUUGACUGCGAGCGUGACGGCGCGAGCAGGUGCGAAAGCAGGUCAUAGUGAUCCGGUGGUUCUGAAUGGAAGGGCCAUCGCUCAACGGAUAAAAGGUACUCCGGGGAUAACAGGCUGAUACCGCCCAAGAGUUCAUAUCGACGGCGGUGUUUGGCACCUCGAUGUCGGCUCAUCACAUCCUGGGGCUGAAGUAGGUCCCAAGGGUAUGGCUGUUCGCCAUUUAAAGUGGUACGCGAGCUGGGUUUAGAACGUCGUGAGACAGUUCGGUCCCUAUCUGCCGUGGGCGCUGGAGAACUGAGGGGGGCUGCUCCUAGUACGAGAGGACCGGAGUGGACGCAUCACUGGUGUUCGGGUUGUCAUGCCAAUGGCACUGCCCGGUAGCUAAAUGCGGAAGAGAUAAGUGCUGAAAGCAUCUAAGCACGAAACUUGCCCCGAGAUGAGUUCUCCCUGACUCCCUGAGAGUCCUGAAGGAACGUUGAAGACGACGACGUUGAUAGGCCGGGUGUGUAAGCGCAGCGAUGCGUUGAGCUAACCGGUACUAAUGAACCGUGAGGCUUAACCUUACAACGCCGAAGCUGUU